GGAAUAUGAAGGGAGAAUGAAACAAAACUGCUCCGCUCAGGGAACUUAGAAAUUGAAAAGGCAAGGCACAGGCUGGAAGAAAAUAUUUGAAAAAGAUUUAUGUGACAAAGAACUUCUUUCUGGAUUAUACAAAAUAUUUUUAGAUAUUCUUACAACUCUAAAAUAAGAUAACUCCUUAAAAAUGUGAAUUCUACCAAAGGAGAGAUAAAGAUGACAAAUACAGUCAAAGAUGCUGAAAAUCGCUUAUUUAUUAUUGGGAAGUUACAAGCUACAGCAUAAUGAGAUACCACUACAACCUACUAAACUGACUAAAAUUAAUCAGACUAACCAGGUGUUGGCAAGAAACAGGGACACUGAGACUCUCACACUGCUGGAAGGAAUGUAAAAUGCUAAAAUUUCUUUGGAAACGAGUUCAGUAACUUUUUAAACAGUUGAAAAUAGACCUAUCAUGCAAACCAGCAACCCCACUUCUAGGUAUUUAUCCAAGGAAAAUGACAACAUAUGCCCACACAAAGACUUGUGCACAAAUGACUGUAGCAGCUUUGUGGUAAUUGCUAAAAACUAGAAACUUGUCAAGUGUCCAACAGACACAGGGUCUCACUAUGUUGCCCAGGCUGGUAUCGAACUCCUGGGCUCAAGUGAUCCUCCUGCCUCAGCCUCCCAAAAUGCUGGGAUUACAGGCAUGAACCACUCUACCCAGCCCCUCCUUGCUUAUUCAUAAUGAAACAAUGCUUUGUAAACCAUGAAAGUGCUAUAUAAAGAUAUCUUUAAAAUACCAAAGAAGUCCC
rnacentral:antisense_RNA from 1 species